rnacentral:rRNA from 1 species
UUAAGCGACUAAGCGUACACGGUGGAUGCCCUGGCAGUCAGAGGCGAUGAAGGACGUGCUAAUCUGCGAUAAGCGUCGGUAAGGUGAUAUGAACCGUUAUAACCGGCGAUUUCCGAAUGGGGAAACCCAGUGUGAUUCGUCACACUAUCAUUAACUGAAUCCAUAGGUUAAUGAGGCGAACCGGGAGAACUGAAACAUCUAAGUACCCCGAGGAAAAGAAAUCAACCGAGAUUCCCCCAGUAGCGGCGAGCGAACGGGGAGCAGCCCAGAGCCUGAAUCAGUGUGUGUGUUAGUGGAAGCGUCUGGAAAGGCGCGCGAUACAGGGUGACAGCCCCGUACACAAAAAUGCACAUACUGUGAGCUCGAUGAGUAGGGCGGGACACGUGGUAUCCUGUCUGAAUAUGGGGGGACCAUCCUCCAAGGCUAAAUACUCCUGACUGACCGAUAGUGAACCAGUACCGUGAGGGAAAGGCGAAAAGAACCCCGGCGAGGGGAGUGAAAAAGAACCUGAAACCGUGUACGUACAAGCAGUGGGAGCCUCUUAAUGGGGUGACUGCGUACCUUUUGUAUAAUGGGUCAGCGACUUAUAUUCUGUAGCAAGGUUAACCGAAUAGGGGAGCCGAAGGGAAACCGAGUCUUAACUGGGCGUUAAGUUGCAGGGUAUAGACCCGAAACCCGGUGAUCUAGCCAUGGGCAGGUUGAAGGUUGGGUAACACUAACUGGAGGACCGAACCGACUAAUGUUGAAAAAUUAGCGGAUGACUUGUGGCUGGGGGUGAAAGGCCAAUCAAACCGGGAGAUAGCUGGUUCUCCCCGAAAGCUAUUUAGGUAGCGCCUCGUGAAUUCAUCUCCGGGGGUAGAGCACUGUUUCGGCAAGGGGGUCAUCCCGACUUACCAACCCGAUGCAAACUGCGAAUACCGGAGAAUGUUAUCACGGGAGACACACGGCGGGUGCUAACGUCCGUCGUGAAGAGGGAAACAACCCAGACCGCCAGCUAAGGUCCCAAAGUCAUGGUUAAGUGGGAAACGAUGUGGGAAGGCCCAGACAGCCAGGAUGUUGGCUUAGAAGCAGCCAUCAUUUAAAGAAAGCGUAAUAGCUCACUGGUCGAGUCGGCCUGCGCGGAAGAUGUAACGGGGCUAAACCAUGCACCGAAGCUGCGGCAGCGACGCUUAUGCGUUGUUGGGUAGGGGAGCGUUCUGUAAGCCUGCGAAGGUGUGCUGUGAGGCAUGCUGGAGGUAUCAGAAGUGCGAAUGCUGACAUAAGUAACGAUAAAGCGGGUGAAAAGCCCGCUCGCCGGAAGACCAAGGGUUCCUGUCCAACGUUAAUCGGGGCAGGGUGAGUCGACCCCUAAGGCGAGGCCGAAAGGCGUAGUCGAUGGGAAACAGGUUAAUAUUCCUGUACUUGGUGUUACUGCGAAGGGGGGACGGAGAAGGCUAUGUUGGCCGGGCGACGGUUGUCCCGGUUUAAGCGUGUAGGCUGGUUUUCCAGGCAAAUCCGGAAAAUCAAGGCUGAGGCGUGAUGACGAGGCACUACGGUGCUGAAGCAACAAAUGCCCUGCUUCCAGGAAAAGCCUCUAAGCAUCAGGUAACAUCAAAUCGUACCCCAAACCGACACAGGUGGUCAGGUAGAGAAUACCAAGGCGCUUGAGAGAACUCGGGUGAAGGAACUAGGCAAAAUGGUGCCGUAACUUCGGGAGAAGGCACGCUGAUAUGUAGGUGAAGUCCCUUGCGGAUGGAGCUGAAAUCAGUCGAAGAUACCAGCUGGCUGCAACUGUUUAUUAAAAACACAGCACUGUGCAAACACGAAAGUGGACGUAUACGGUGUGACGCCUGCCCGGUGCCGGAAGGUUAAUUGAUGGGGUUAGCGGUAACGCGAAGCUCUUGAUCGAAGCCCCGGUAAACGGCGGCCGUAACUAUAACGGUCCUAAGGUAGCGAAAUUCCUUGUCGGGUAAGUUCCGACCUGCACGAAUGGCGUAAUGAUGGCCAGGCUGUCUCCACCCGAGACUCAGUGAAAUUGAACUCGCUGUGAAGAUGCAGUGUACCCGCGGCAAGACGGAAAGACCCCGUGAACCUUUACUAUAGCUUGACACUGAACAUUGAGCCUUGAUGUGUAGGAUAGGUGGGAGGCUUUGAAGUGUGGACGCCAGUCUGCAUGGAGCCGACCUUGAAAUACCACCCUUUAAUGUUUGAUGUUCUAACGUUGGCCCCUAAUCGGGGUUGCGGACAGUGUCUGGUGGGUAGUUUGACUGGGGCGGUCUCCUCCUAAAGAGUAACGGAGGAGCACGAAGGUUGGCUAAUCCUGGUCGGACAUCAGGAGGUUAGUGCAAUGGCAUAAGCCAGCUUGACUGCGAGCGUGACGGCGCGAGCAGGUGCGAAAGCAGGUCAUAGUGAUCCGGUGGUUCUGAAUGGAAGGGCCAUCGCUCAACGGAUAAAAGGUACUCCGGGGAUAACAGGCUGAUACCGCCCAAGAGUUCAUAUCGACGGCGGUGUUUGGCACCUCGAUGUCGGCUCAUCACAUCCUGGGGCUGAAGUAGGUCCCAAGGGUAUGGCUGUUCGCCAUUUAAAGUGGUACGCGAGCUGGGUUUAGAACGUCGUGAGACAGUUCGGUCCCUAUCUGCCGUGGGCGCUGGAGAACUGAGGGGGGCUGCUCCUAGUACGAGAGGACCGGAGUGGACGCAUCACUGGUGUUCGGGUUGUCAUGCCAAUGGCACUGCCCGGUAGCUAAAUGCGGAAGAGAUAAGUGCUGAAAGCAUCUAAGCACGAAACUUGCCCCGAGAUGAGUUCUCCCUGACUCCCUGAGAGUCCUGAAGGAACGUUGAAGACGACGACGUUGAUAGGCCGGGUGUGUAAGCGCAGCGAUGCGUUGAGCUAACCGGUACUAAUGAACCGUGAGGCUUAACCUU